AUUAUUUCAGAUUACAUACUAACCAUAUAUAAAACUAUAGAAGGGGCAGACAAAUCAAGGAUAUGUGGAUCUUUUACAUUAAGAAACCUUAUAAUGAAAGACUACUUAAUAUUAAUACUAUUAAUAGGAUACAUUAUAUAUGUAUCUGAUACAGUGUAUAUAAACAUAGAUGGCUAUAUAAGGUAUGAUGGGGGCGGAUACCAGUUACUAGGGGCGGAGUCAAGACUAGCAUUCCAGUUCCGUUAUUGCAAUGAAAGGGGUUUGUUGCUGUACCAAGCAGGGGGAGACAAUUUUUUUGCUGUUGGCGUUUACAAGAAGAAAAUUUAUUUGGAAUGGAAAAUUCAGAAUCAAGUUAUCGAGCUUGAGAUAGGAAAUGGAGAUCUGGUAUCAAACACAACCUACAUUGUUGAAAUAAUUGGUUUACAGAGUCGUCAGUUCACUCGGGCAACGAUUAACGGCAACGUUGCUCUGGUACAGUACCUGGUACAACUGGACCAACAACUAGAUUUAUCGUCUCUAGUAGGAGAGUUGUACAUUGGUGGAUAUCGCU